GUUGGUUUCCACAGAUAUUGUGCUGAGAAAAUUAACAAAAAUGUAAAGCACCGUAACUAACAUAUAGACUUCACUAGCUGUGUGACCUGGGGCAAGUCAUUGAGCCUCUCUGAGCCUUUGCCAAUGAAGAUACUAAUGGUACCUGCCUCAUAGGGUUGUUACAAGGCCUGAAUGAGUGAAUACAGACAAGUAAAAGGCUUCAAACAGGGCUGGUAGGCUUUAAGGACAACAUAUAUAGUUUUGGUUGUUCUAUUUUCAUAGUAAGUGUUCAAUAGCUCCCAGGGGUCCUGGUCACUCUGGACCCAGCUCCUUUUCUCUCUCGCUCUCUCAGUAGAAAAUCUCCCACCACCCCUCAACCCCCUGCCAGGUGAGGAGGACCAGAACCAAGAAACAGGACUGCCUGAGGCCUCAGACCUCCCCCUACUCAAAGUUCAAGGGACCCGGAGCCUGAGAGGCUGGGGCGGGAGGGAGUGAGGAGGCGGUGGCACUGGCAGCUAAAUUUGUUCAUCCGGCCUGUCAGUGCCUUAAUCUGAUCCCCGAGGAACAACGCAGAGGCUUCACUCUGGAUGACAAACGAGGAGGGGAGAGGCCUACCCUGCCUGGACUCCGGGCCCCAGCCAUGACCGUGUCAGCUAGACGACACCUGGAGCAAGUCCCCACAACCUGUUUUACUCCUGAGCGGGCUUUGUGCCUAGACCUGGGAAUCCUGACUCACUUUGGUAAAGCUAUCGACCUCUCCAAGCCUCAGUUUCCUCAUCUUCAGUUUGGGCAGAUCUUUAGGCUCAGUGGAGCCAAAACGUGUAAGCACUUGAUAAAGCCCGGAGUGGCCUGGUUCAGAUGCUCUGCUCAGAGGACCAGCACAAGCUGGUAUGCGUGUGUGUGUGUGUGUGUGUGUGUGUGAGUGUGUGUGUGUGCAUGCGCACACACACUAGUUGGGAAGCAGGGAAGGCCUGGGAGCUUCCCAGAGGACAGAGGCUUAGGCAUGAUGAUGGGGUGAGGGGGAGCCCCAAACCCCAGGCCCAGGGCCCCAUGUCCCAGGGAGUAGGGGGUCCGGAGCCCAGCUAUCUCCGCUUUCUGCACCCACCUCCUUCCAGCACCACCUUCUCCUGCAGCGCUGCCCUCUGGUCCCACUCAGCCUCAUCUGUGCCGGCUGGUCCUACACUUUGCUCACUCGGGAUUUUACACAUGGGGCCUGCGUCUCUCACGGAGGGCCACCAGGAGGCGCCACACGCCUGCUCGGCCUCCCCGUGGGCCCCCCAAUCCUCCCGGCCGGUCGGUCUGGAGGCGGGGCGUCCUCGGGGUCGGGAGUGCACGGUCUGCGGUUCAGCCCCGGCUCUAGCACGUGGCCCGCGGAGCCGCGCACCCUUUCUCUCUCUUGAACCCCCAUCGGGUGGCGGGCGUCUCAUCCAACCCUCUCUGCGCGAUCCUGCUCCCUCUGCGCCCGCGGGCAUCCGAGAUCCAGGCUUCUGUCACCCCCUAGCCCUACCCGCGAAGUCCUCUGUCAUCCUGCGAGCACAGGACCCAAAGUGCUGUGCUGUGGUCCCCGUUCCCCCAGCUCCUAUCCCUCUCUGAAGGUUGGAUGAAUAAACUGCUCUCAAAGCUGGUUUGUUUCGCCA
rnacentral:lncRNA from 1 species